rnacentral:lncRNA from 14 species
GUGCCAAAUACAUUGUUAUGUUAGUAUUACGGAAUAUAUUUGUUCAGUUCCUCUUGGAACACAAUUAGCUUCCUCUCCUUUGCCACAGAGAGACGUCGCUUACCUUGUUCUUGGGACUCAUGAUCCAAGAGAUCUCUGAGAGAAGGCUCGUUGGCUGUGAGGACUGAUAUAUAGCUUACCUUGGGGCUUAACAGUGAUAGCAGGACUGGAUACCACCCAACAACUAUGCCAGAAACCAUUUUGGUUAGGUGUGGGUUGCUUGUCAGAAAUCUGUUCCGAAGCUUCAAUGUAAGGCAAGCAGGGUACUAAUGAUGGAUACGAAUGGAUGUCUUCAGGAUGACAAUGGAUGCAGCAUCUUCAAAAGCAGUUUUAUUCUGGUUCUUUACCAUGUACUAGUUUCUGACCCGCAUGUGGUGUACAAGUGGGAAUUCAACAUUAAAAUGGGAAUCAAGAUUUUGAUACCUAUCCUGAGCUAACUCCAGCAUUAAGAAGACAAACAUUACCUUCUCUGACAAAUUGGAGGUCACCUCUGCCUUGCAUGUUUAUGAGUUGCCUCAUAGGUAAGCAGUCUAAGUAAAGUUAGCAUCUCAUUUCAGCAAAAAGGGCAUCUUAGUGCCCAUAAUUUAAUGCAUAGUGAAUAGAAAACUUUGUAUGUAGUAUUUUUCCCCACUUAGCAAUAAUAACAGUUUGAGUCCUUACCUCUGUAUCAAUGCUGUAGACAAAUCAAUAUCUCUUUCAAUAAAUUUCAGAUGUUUGUGUCCUCUUGAAUCUUG